UACGGAGGAUCCAAGCGUUAUCCGGAUUUAUUGGGUUUAAAGGGUGCGUAGGCGGCCAAUUAAGUCAGGGGUGAAAGACGGUAGCUUAACUAUCGCAGUGCCUUUGAUACUGAUUGGCUUGAAUGGACUAGGGGUAGGCGGAAUGUGACAAGUAGCGGUGAAAUGCAUAGAUAUGUCACAGAACACCAAUUGCGAAGGCAGCUUACUAUGGUUUAAUUGACGCUGAGGCACGAAAGCGUGGGGAUCAAACAGG
rnacentral:rRNA from 1 species